UACGUAGGGGGCAAGCGUUGCUCGGAAUCACUGGGCGUAAAGGGCGCGUAGGCGGGAUGGCAAGUCGGUCGUGAAAUCUCUCGGCUCAACCGAGAAACGUCGGCCGAUACUGCCGUUCUUGAGGGAUGCAGAGGAGACUGGAAUUCCCGGUGUAGCGGUGAAAUGCGCAGAUAUCAGGAAGAACACCCGUGGCGAAGGCGGCUCUCUGGGACGUG
rnacentral:rRNA from 1 species